GGUCAAGUUAUUAAGGGUGCAGGGCGGAUGCCUUGGCACUAGGAGCCGAUGAAGGACGUGAUAAGCUGCGAUAAGCUUCGGGGAGUUGCACGUAAACUUUGAUCCGAAGAUUUCCGAAUGAGGAAACUCACUUAGAGUAAUGUCUAAGUAUCAUUAAGUGAAUACAUAGCUUAAUGAGGGGAACUCAGGGAACUGAAACAUCUAAGUACCUGAAGGAAGAGAAAGAAAUUCGAUUCCGUAAGUAGCGGCGAGCGAACGCGGAUUAGCCCAAACCAAUAAAGUUUUCUUUAUUGGGGUUGCGGACAUAUCAUAACGAAGAGGUAUCGUAAUUGAAGAGGUUUGGAAAGACC
rnacentral:rRNA from 1 species